rnacentral:tRNA from 1 species
GGAAGGGUGCCGGAGUGGUCUAACGGACAUGCUUGGAGAGCAUGCGUCUAGGAAACUGGACCGCGAGUUCGAAUCUCGCCCCUUCCG